GUGAAUCAUCGAAUUUUUGAACGCAAAUUGCACUCUCUGGUAUUCCGGAGAGUAUGCCUGUUUGAGGGUCAGUUUAAAUAAAAAUCGGUGUGGUUGCUGCCUUUCGUGGUGACGUACCGGAUUUGGGUCGUCUUGUGUUUGGUUAAGUGAAGUAAAUUGGUGCAUGAUCUUUGUCGAACGUAUUUAAAUGUGUUUAUGUACGUUUGCGAUAUAGAAUACUAGUUGUGGUCAUG
rnacentral:misc_RNA from 1 species